rnacentral:rRNA from 1 species
AUACGUAGGGUGCAAGCGUUGUUCGGAAUCACUGGGCGUAAAGGGCGUGUAGGCGGAGAAGUAAGCCAGAGGUGAAAGCCCGGGGCUCAACCCCGGAGGGUCUUUUGGAACUGCUUUUCUUGAGAGGGUUAGAGGUUAGCGGAAUUCCUGGUGUAGCGGUGAAAUGCGUAGAUAUCAGGAGGAACACCGGAGGCGAAAGCGGCUAACUGGGGCCAAUCUGACGCUGAGGCGCGAAAGCAUGGGGAGCAAACGGGAUUAGAUACCCCGGUAGUCC